AUUGAACGCUGGCGGCAGGCUUAACACAUGCAAGUCGAACGAGUGGCGGACGGGUGAGUAUGAUUGGGAAACUGGCUUAAGGAGGGGGAUAACGACGGGGAAACGUCGGUAAUACCGCGUACCAUAGGGUGAGCCCCAGUGGGAUUAGGUAGUUGGUGGGGUAAUGGCCUACCAAGCCGACGAUCUCUAGCUGGUCUGAGAGGAUGACCAGCCACACCGGGACUGAGACACGGCCCGGACUCCUACGGGAGGCAGCAGUGGGGAAUAUUGCGCAAUGGGGGCAACCUGACGCAGCCAUGCCGCGUGAAUGAAGAAGGCCUUCGGGUUGUAAAGUUCUUUCGGUGACGAGGCGUUAAUCACAGAAGAAGCACCGGCUAACUACGUGCCAGCCGCCGCGGUAAUAC
rnacentral:rRNA from 1 species